CAUGGUCUUUUGUUAAAAAUGGAAGAUUUGGCCUGCCCACUGAGGAUUUUAAGGGCUGCGGUAUUUUGACCGUGCAAAGGUAGCAUAAUAAUUAGUUUUUUAAUUGGAAGCUGGUAUGAAUGGCUGGACGAGAAAAUUUCUGUCUCUAGUUAAUUUAAAAUAGAAUUUUAUUUUUUAGUAAAAAAGCUUAAAUUAUUUUGAAAGACGAGAAGACCCUAUAGAGUUUUAUGUUUUGAGUUUAAUGUGAUAUUUUAAGGAUUUAAUUAUCUGUUUUGUUUGGAAUAUUUUAUUGGGGUGAUAGUGAGAUAAAAUUAACUCUUUUUAUAUUUUUACAUUAAUUUUUGAUUUUUUGAUCCAUUUUUAUUGAUUAUAAGAAUAAAUUACCUUAGGGAUAACAGCGUAAUCUUUUUUGAGAGUUCUUAUCGAAAUAAGGGAUUGCGACCUCGAUGUUGGAUUAAAAUUAAUUAUUGGUGCAGGAGCUAUAUGAUUGAGUCUGUUCGACUUUUGAAAUUUUACAUGAUCUGAGU
rnacentral:rRNA from 1 species